CCCUCUUCACAUGCAUCUCUCUUCUUUUGAGCACCCUCUAUGGUCUCUCAGGCACCAUCUCUUGAUGGCACUUGCACCCACACAAGUUCAGCUCUCAUCACGAUCAAUAUAUUUUCAAACUUAAUCCCCUUCAACUGUGAUUGAACAGCAUGUCAUUGCAUAAAAAUCCAAAACCCCAAGAGGCAAGAGACUUAAAUUUACUGUGAUUAAGUUCUUUUCUAGAAUGUAGAACCAUAUUAAUGUAUUUUUGGAAUAACUUUCUGCACAUGUUGUUUGUUCAAAAAGUUUCUGCAUCAUAUAAUUGCCAUAAAAUUUAUUUCCAGAAAACUAAAUAUGUUUUUAA
rnacentral:lncRNA from 1 species